CUUAUUUCUAAUUUUUUGAUUUAUUUAAAUUUUAUUUUAUUCAUUAAUUGAUUACUUUUAAUGGGUCUUAAUGAUUUAGGUUUCAUUUUCUUUAGGUCUUUUCGUUUAUCUCAUUUCUUAUUUUGCCUCCAUCUUCUUAGACAGAGAAAAAAAAAACCUUCAGAAUAUAAUGAUCCUUUCAUUUCGCAUUCUCUGCUCUUUCUCUCUUUAAUUUUCCAUUCCACCCAAUUUUGACGAAUCUAAUAAUGUUAAGACAGCAACAUUACCAGAGAAAGAGGCUGCCCCUGCAUCCAAAAUGGCAUCGUUUGCCUUAAGACCAAACUCUAGGGGAGGCUUUGGUGAAUGUGUACCAUGUGUCUGAGAAGCCCAAAUACCAAAGAUAAGAAACCAAAACACAAACAAAAUUGCCCAAUAACGAGCAGGUCCAUACUUGAUUCUGGAGCUUAAUGCAAUUUGCGAGAGCAAUUAUCAGCAGAAGACGAAGAAGAGAUCUUAGCAGAAUUUGAGAGCUUAGAAAUUGAGGCUAUAAAAAUACUAAACGAUGAAAUGCAGUUGGAUGUCAUCAAGAUUGGAAAUUUGGUUCGGGUUAAAGUGCGCAAUCCGUAUGUUUAAAAUACGUUAUAAAAGAUGACGUUCUUUGAAAUCCUAAAGAAACAGGUAUUGUAGUAAUGUGUGAGUGUGUGCGUGUGCUUUAAAUAAAAUAAAAUAGAAGGGAGAACACUGCAAAUCGCUCGCAGUUGGGACGAAGGUGCUACUCCUCUUAAAGAUAUAUUUAAGGUCUUUUUUGGGUUCUUAUUUUUUUAUUUAUUAUGGUUUUUAUUUAUCAACUCUUUUGAUUUCGUAACUAAUUUUGGUAUGGUUUUUAUUCACUAAUUUUGGUAUGGUUUUUAUUUUUCAAUUCUUUUAAUUUCUGAACUAAUUUUGGUGUGGUUAUUAUUUUUCAACUCUUUUUAUUUCUUCUUCAUCAUUCAUUUGGAUGUGAGCAGGAGAAAGAACUCUUUGAAAGGCGAAAGACAUAAUGCAUGGCUUAAUGAUGAGUUUACAUCCAAAGUAGACAAUCUUAUUGAGUUGCGGAGAAAGCAUGAUUCAAAGCUUGCAAAGUAACAUCAUUGGAGGAGGAAUUACGCUCAACUAAAGAUACUGCCUUAGCAAAGGAGGAACAACUAUCUGCUGAACUCUCAACAGAACCACCUACCAAGAAGUUUGUUAUGGAUGGUGAAAUGUCAGAUUACAUUCUUGCCAAAGUUUGAUUCUGCAAGUACGAUUAUCGAAUCAAUUAUUAAUUUUUGGUCUGUUUUUAGAAACUGUCUUAUUGACCCGAAAGAAGCAAUUGUAAAAGUAAUAUGUGCAUCUUCAAAAUGUGGAGAAUACCUGUUCGAGAUAGGUAUGAUUGGUGCUUUAGAAAUUAAUAAUAAAAUAUACAAUAUAAACAAAUAUUUGUGUGGUGGUUGGGUGUUUAUGCCAUUUUCGUUUAUGUGUUUUAUGGUUGAAUAUUGAGCUUUUUGGCUAUUUGUGUUUGUUUACUAUUAAUGUGGCUGUUAAACCUCUAGAUUAUUUGAAUUUCUUAGUGUUUAGUCUUUAAAUUAUUUAACGAUUGUUUAACAGUACUUUUUUUUAUUUUAUUAAUGUCUUAAUUGAGAUAUACUAUUGUUUUAAUACAAGUUUUAUUAUUGUCAAAUUUGAAAUAAUAAAACUAAAAACCAUUGGGAAUUAUAAAGCAAAAAUAAAACUGGUUAUUUUAAUAAUAAUAAUAAUAAUAAUAAUAAUAAUAAUAAUAAUAAUAAUAAUAAUAAUAAUA